GACGAACGCUGGCGGCGUGCUUAACACAUGCAAGUCGAACGAAGUGGCGAAAGGGUGAGUAACGCGUAAUCAACCUGCCCUUCAGAGGGGGACAACAGUUGGAAACGACUGCUAAUACCGCAUACUGAAGGAGGGGAUUGCGUCGGAUUCGCUAGUUGGAGGGGUAACGGCCCACCAGGGCGAUGAGCAGUAGCCGGUCUGAGAGGAUGAACGGGCACAUUGGGAAUGGGACACGGCCCAGACGCAUACGGGAGGCAGCAGGUGGGAAUCUUCCGAAAUGGACGAAAGUCUGACGGAGCAACGCCGCGGGAGUGAUGACGGCCUUCGGGUUGUAAAGCUCUGUUAAUCGGGACGCGGUACCGGAAUAGAAAGCCACGGCUAACUACGUGCCAGCAGCCGCGGUAAUAC
rnacentral:rRNA from 1 species